UGCAUGUAGUCGAGGGGGAAACCAGAGACCAUGUUUAGGGAUGUUUCUUCAAGAGGUACAAACCAUCCUGUGUGCAUUUUUCACAUCCGUGAUAGCCUGUGUGACCUUUAACAUUUUUCAGGAAUGCACGGGCAGGUGCAUCACAGACCAUCGAAAGAGAUGUCUCUAGGAUGGGCCAGAACUGUGUUGCUGAGCUCUUAUAGAGUGGCAAACCAUCAAUGCUGACCUGAAGCUCCAGUGUGUGAAUGUUGCGCAGAAUGUCAACAUUCUGAUGUAGCACCUCUGCAAUUGAAUUCAGCACUCCAAGAUGCAAGGCAUUCGAUUGGAUGGUAGGUGCUGAUGUCGCGCUCGCGCUGCAAGAACAACAUGGCACGGGUUCAAAGCCUUAUUCAACUGAGAAAAUUGAUCAGCGUCAUGGUACAAGCGAAGUCUGAAUGGUUUGUUUCCCUGUUUCUUCUGCCUUGGCUGCACCAGCUGUGGAAACCAGACCUGGUGAGGACCCUCUCCUCCAUCCUCAACUAUUGAAUCUCUUAUAUCACUCGGAUGAGGUGAUCUGGAUCCAGACCGGAACUUGUGUAAAUCAUAGUUACCACGGGAUGAAGAUCCCAGCAGAAACAGAGAAACAAAUAGAGACAUCAUAAGCAUAGCUGGACAGACCAGCCUGUGAUCUCCUAAGACACCCAGAUUCACCCCUGGUCACGAUCAUUCCCUCACCUGUGUCUCAUCACAGUCCAUCACCAGUGUCUGCACCCUGCACACUGCCAAUAUUAUGGAUUUCUGUUCUGGAGAAAGAUGCCAUUCACAACAUAAUCUCUACACAAUAUCAAACUCAAAUAAUUUAGUCUUGCCAAACAGUUUCCCUGAUUUGUUACUGUUCACAAUGUAGCAUGGUCUUGCCUACCUUUGUCCAUUCAGUUAUUAAAAUGUUUUUAAUAUUUGUAUUGAA